rnacentral:rRNA from 1 species
UACGUAGGGUGCAGGCGUUAAUCGGAAUUACUGGGCGUAAAGCGUGCGCAGGCGGUUUUGUAAGUCAGAUGUGAAAUCCCCGGGCUUAACCUGGGAACUGCGUUUGAAACUACAAGGCUAGAGUGUGGCAGAGGGGGGUGGAAUUCCACGUGUAGCAGUGAAAUGCGUAGAGAUGUGGAGGAACACCGAUGGCGAAGGCAGCCCCCUGGGUUAACACUGACGCUCAGGCACGGAAGCGUGGGGAGCAAACAGG